GAAGUCCAAGACAGAGUAUUUAAGGUGAUCUUGAUGUUAGAAGAAUAGCAACAGGGAAGAUAAAUUUGGAAAAAUGUUAAUGGAAAAAGAGAUUAAGACUUCAGAUGACAUCUCAAGUAUUUUCCAACAGAGGAUUGAUUGUCAUGGAGAAAACAGUCGGACUAAUUUCCAUACAAUGGAACAUGAAGAUGUGGCAGAGCCUUAGGAUCCCGAAGAUCUUCCUUGUUGGAUCUUGAAGAGCUUUCUUGUCUAGGAAAUCACAUAAAGCAUGUUCUGCAGUGCAGAAGAUGUUAUAGCAAAAGAUAUUCCAGUUCUUCUUUGCCUUUGUUGCUGCAGCAAAAAUGCUAAGUCAUGGCCUGAAACAGUGAUUGAGCACCUGGUGGGAAGGCAGGGCUAACCCAGAGGAGCUCAGGAGCAUGCGCCAGACCUCCUUUAGGGUUGGCAUGGGAGGCAAGGGUAUUUUGCUGGAGAUUCCUGUCUACUUGUGGUCUUCCACAGAUAGAAAGUUCAGAUGUUUUCUCCAAAGGACUUAGUUUGACAUUUCAGAGCCAACAGCUACUAUCCUGUCUUUGCAGUAUGGCAGUGGAAACUACUUCCUCAA